rnacentral:rRNA from 1 species
GACGUAGGGCGCGAGCGUUGUCCGGAAUUAUUGGGCGUAAAGAGCUCGUAGGCGGUCCGUCACGUCCGCUGUGAAAACCCAGGGCUCAACCCUGGGCUUGCAGUGGAUACGGGCAGACUAGAGGUAGGUAGGGGAGAAUGGAAUUCCCGGUGUAGCGGUGAAAUGCGCAGAUAUCGGGAGGAACACCGGUGGCGAAGGCGGUUCUCUGGGCCUUACCUGACGCUGAGGAGCGAAAGCGUGGGGAGCGAACAGG